rnacentral:rRNA from 1 species
UACGUAGGGGGCAAGCGUUGUUCGGAAUUACUGGGCGUAAAGGGCGCGUAGGCGGCACGGCAAGUCAGGAGUGAAAGGCCUGGGCUCAACCGAGGAACUGCUUUUGAGACUGCCGAGCUAGAGUGCAGAAGGGGCAACUGGAAUUCCCAGUGUAGCGGUGAAAUGCGUAGAUAUCGAGAGGAACACCUGCGGCGAAGGCGGGUUGCUGGGCCGACACUGACGCUGAUGCGCGAAAGCCAGGGGAGCGAACGGG